rnacentral:rRNA from 1 species
ACGCCCUAAACGAUGUACACUAGUUGUUGUGAGGCUCGACCUUGCAGUAAUGCAGUUAACACAUUAAGUGUACCGCCUGGGGAGUACGGUCGCAAGAUUAAAACUCAAAGGAAUAGACGGGGACCCGCACAAGCGGUGGAGCAUGUGGUUUAAUUCGACGAUACACGAAGAACCUUACCUGGACUUGACAUAGUAAGAAUGAUUUAGAGAUAGAUUAGUGUCUGCUUGCAGAAACUUGCAUACAGGUGCUGCACGGCUGUCGUCAGCUCGUGUCGUGAGAUGUUGGGUUAAGUCCCGCAACGAGCGCAACCCUCGUCCUUAGUUGCUAACAGUUCGGCUGAGAACUCUAAGGAGACUGCCUACGCAAGUAGGAGGAAGGUGAGGAUGACGUCAAGUCAUCAUGGCCCUUACGUCCAGGGCUACACACGUGCUACAAUGGGGUAUACAAAGAGCAGCAAUACGGUGACGUGGAGCAAAUCUCAAAAAUGCCUCCCAGUUCGGAUUGUAGUCUGCAACUCGACUACAUGAAGUUGGAAUCGCUAGUAAUCGUAGAUCAGCUAUGCUACGGUGAAUACGUUCCCGGGUCUUGUACUCACCGCCCGUCACACCAUGGGAGUUGAACUCAUUCGAAGCGGGGAUGCUAAAGUAGCUACCUUCCACAGUGGAUUCAGCGACUGGGGUGAAGUCGUAACAAGGUAACCGUAGGAGAACCUGCGGUUGGAUCACCUCCUUU